CACGUUGGAGUCGCGCUGAGAAGGAGGCGCUAAGUCGAUCCAGGAGCACGUAUCUGGGAUAAGUGCACGUCCACGGCUUUCUAAAGUAGGGCCGUUUCUCAAUAUGCGUUCUUGUGUGGACUUUUGUUCUCGUGGACUCGUGAAACGUCAUCAGUCGCAGCCCGAGUACUGUUCCAAUUCUCAAGUCCGCAUCUGGCCGAGAACGGUCAUAAUACCCGGAUGUGGCUCGCCCCGCCCAUUUUACCGGGCAUGCAUCGAAGCAGGCUCGUCUGUUCUUGUGAGAGACAUAUAUCCCAGAAUGCAUUUCACCUCAGAAACAGGCAACAACGACAGAGGAAAAUAAACACAACUUUAUGUCGAAGUUUAUAAAUACUACUUUUUUUAAGUAACGUAAUGUAAUUUUCUGACUGAAUAGUAAAAUGUUUAAGUCAAAAACUAAAAUAAAAACGUAUUAGCAAGACCAGCUGACGUGGUGACGUCAUCAAGUCAGCUGCUGUUCCAACUGCGGAAAUGACCGUUCUCCGUUCUCCCGAACCUGCGAGUCAGGACUCCCGAGUCUGUCUCCCGAGUCUAUUCUCGCGGGAACGCGAGUCCGUUCUCGCCGUCUUAGGUAUUGAGAAACGGCCUAGAUCACGAUAUCGAUCACAGAUUUACUGAUGCGGAAAUGGAGAAGACGCCGCGCGCAGCAUAUUUCUCACCCGCCGAUCAGCAACUGAUCAAAUAAAUGAGGAGGUGAAGCAUAUCAUUCGCAAAAAAAAGGAAUAUGGCAGCUGUAACUAAAAGAGAAAAAGCAGACAAUCGCGGGACUGAAUGUAGAAGGAAAAAUAUAUCCUUACAAUUAUUAUUAUUUAACAACUUUGUGUUACUGCCAAACAUUGUACUUGGAAAAGUUGUUGCAUGUAUUUACAUGAUUUUGUCUCUAAAUGUUUGAAAAAGUGACAUGUGAAUAUUGUCCUGCUUUUUUUAUUCAUAUGAUAACGCUAAAUGUACGAAAACUGCGCACGAUUUUAGAACAUGCAACAUUUUACAAACGGCGCCCCAUCCUGGCAGGGGGUUUGACAUCUUUACCUCGUACUCUUUGUUGCUGGAGGUACAUUUUCGCUGCUCUGGGUCCUCUCGCAUUCGCGGUGCAGUCACGGUUGUGCAACAGUGUCUCCCUGUUUACAAACCCAAGCUUUCCCAGUGAACACAAGACGUUAUUUCAAGGUUGAAAUAUGGUUGAAAUCGGGUUGAAAUGAGGUCUGAACGUCUAAGACCUCAUUUCAACGUCUUUUCAUCCGGCGAAAAAGUGCGAGAAACCUCAACGUGCUAGAAAGGGGUACAUUUCUCGAUUACGUGUCAUGUUGUAACGUAGGGUUGAAAGAGAAACGAUAAUAUCAUUAAGAUUAUCAUAAUAAUGAAUGAACUGGACGGCGAAAUUCUACGCAAAGACGUGAUUUUCUUAAAACGUCAUGAAUAUGGAAAUACAGAGUAUGUGUCUGUUACGCUUCCACCCCGGCUCGGGUGAGGAGGUGGGGCGUAACAAUAUGCUUUAAGGACAAAAUAAUGCGGGCCGUUUCAAACAUUAGUUGAAAACACGUAACUCUGAUCACAUCUGUAACGCGCAUGCGCAAGUUCUUCUAGAGCUUCCAUCGGGUGCAGCGCGAGGGUAAGUGUGUCCGGGACCAGAGCGACGUGAACGGGCUGAUACAACCACGGCUACCGGCCCCAAUACUCUGUCGCCACCCUCAGGAGGCGUUGGUGUGUUGGCACCAACCAGCACUCGAGGGGGCCGGACGUCAGCACGGAGGUGAAAGCAGGGCCCAGCUGCGUCUCAUCUACAAUCACCCACCUGGUGCUGCCUUCCAAUCAGGGGAGGUAUUUAGGAGCGGCCCCGAAGCCUCUUCCCCGCCGGAUUGUUAGUCUUGUUUUGCACCUGAACGGGCCGUUUGGCCUACGCACCUCCCCGGGGAUCCCGCCACCUUGUUUUCCCCACAUCUGGAAUCCGGGACCGCCGUCACCACCCAGUCACCUCUUAGUCCGGUGCCUUUUUUCA